AUAUUUUUUACAGCGUGUUCAGAGCUUAUUUUCCAGUUUUUAUGAACAAACAUAUAAAUACAUCUCUGCAUUCCUGCCUCCCUCAUAAAAGCGGGCAUCUGUGGAAAGCAGGUUUAGUUAUCGAAGGGGAACCAUUAAACGCCAGUUUAAGAGGCAGGCCGGGAGGACGGCUCGUGGAUGUUUAGACUGCCGGCCUUGCUGAUCUUGAACGCAUUAUAACGGAAAAUGGAUCUCCUCUUGUAAGUCACCGGCCGCGGGGCACCCGGGCCGCAGCGCCCGCGUGGUGGGAGCUUCUUGGGAAGGCUCGCGUGCGGCGAGGGGCGAGGGCGGGUGGUCAAUGGCAGGAGCCGAAAUCACCCCAGGCUUGGCCCUAGCCGAAAGGGGAGGCUGAUGUGUAUAUAUAGAUUCCACCCAAAGGAAUUCGGUGUGGAAAACAGUGUCAACAGGAGCCCGCCGGCUGUAAAUUAGAGGGAGGCGAGGACAGUGUGAGGGGCGCUGGCGCGGGACGGGGCGGCCUGGGGCUCGCCGCUGGGCAGGCCAGGGUAGCCCAAGGGAGACCAAAGACUCCACUUCGGGCAUCGCCCUUUGGAGGCGGGCAGAGUCCAGCCGCAGGCCGCAAGGCGAACCCCACCUGAAGGACUCCACAAGGACGGUCCUUUCCUUGCUCGCCGCAGCCGACAAAGUGGUUCCGGCUGGAAGGCGACAUCAGUGCUAGUGGAGGGCGCCCCAUUGGCUUUGUGGUUGACUCUGAACUCAGGCCCUGCCCUCCACUAGUCCUAGAGUCUUGGGCAGCAGGUUUGAGAAAGACAUGUAUUUAGGUUUGCUGUAGCUGCCCUGUAGGAGAGAAGGACUUAAAAGCCCAGGAUGAGAGUUGUGUAGGGUCCAUUCCAUUUCUAUGUAAGGGUUUAACAUUCUCAAACCACCACCACCCACCACCACCACCACCCACCACCCCCGGCAAAGCAUUCAAUGCCUUGAGGCAGAAUAGGGAGUAACUGAAACCAGGCUCCUUGGUAAGCGCCAGGGGCUUGCAGUUGAGCUGGGAACAAAAUAGUGACCUACAUACAGCUCUAAACCCCCAACUUGUGUGGGUCUGCAGAUUUGAGCAGCUUAAAUCUGCUGCUCUACAAGGAGAGCUUUUUAAAGACCUAGUUCUUCAAGGAAAGAAUACAGGUAGUGUGGUUGGGGGUUUUGUUUACAUUUUCACCCGGAGGCAAACCCUGAAUGUGUAAAUACUGGUAGUUCAAUUCUCUGACAUUUGAUACGUUUUUGAAAAGUCUGUUUAUAAAAACACUUUUAGGCCUUGGGAGCAGGUAGACAAAGUAAGGUUGCACUGGGCUGGGAACAUAUAAAAAUUCAGGGAACUUAGUUGGUUGGCUGUGUUCAGGCCCAGAGGGAGUUUUGAGAAUUUAAGGGAAGAAGAAGAGUCUAGAGGAGGGCCGAGUUGGGGAUUGAGAUGCUCUGUCCACCAGAGGCAAGCGGUGAGUGCCUCACUUUUGAAGGCUUCAGAAUUUGCCACUUUAAGCCCUUCUCAUGCUUUUAAUUGAAACAAACAAACAAACAAACAAACAAAAACGAGUGAAUUGCUUCAUGGCCCCAGAUAGCAUUGGAAGUGGUAAAGUAAAUGAGCAACUUGAUACAGAAAAAAGAAAUCAUAAAAGAUGCACAUCAGUUCUCACUGGCAGUGUCAUUAUUUUCAAUACAGAUAAUAAUUAACUGUAUUAUCAGUUAAUUGCUGUGGUCCAAGGGCCUAAGAUGAUAUAGCUCAGAAACCCAAACCCCGAAGCCACUGCCUUAGAAAGGUGGCUUGAUGAGAGGGGACAAAUGGGUGAACCUUAGUGGUAUCCCCACUGGAGUAACUGACUCAGGGAGGCCAGGCUGGUCCUGACUGGUUGAGCUCUACCCUAAAUGCACAAACAGAUCCAUUUUUCUCUUGCAAUGUCCUGUGGCCUAUUUUGCUCCAGGUUUUCCAGGAUACUGGGCUAGCAUGCUCUGUUGGAAAGAUGGGAAGCAAAAGAUGCCAUCUCAAGUUUGCCCCCAAUUUAGGUUUCCCCGGGCAUCCUGGUGGUAGUGACGGCGGUGGUGGUAGUGGUGGCGAUGAAGGAGAGGGUGGUGUUGGUGUUGAGAGGGAAUGUGGGAGAAGUAAGGGAGAAAGGCACAGUCCCUGAGGUCAGCACGGGGAUCCCACACCUGAGCUACACCAGUGUGGCCGCUGGUGUACAGGUUCGAAGUACUCAAAGACCCAGGAAACUGGCCUGCUUGGGGCUCCUCUGCAUGCCUGUGGAAGAAUUCUAACUAGGGGUGCUUCUCUGUCUCUCCUUGGAGGCUGAGGGCUGGCUGAAACCGGUCUCAUCUGGGUCCAGAAACUGCUUCACAAGGAGGCAGCCUGGGUUGGGAAUGUGCAGAUCAUUCAUGGGGAAGUAUAACUGGAACCAGUCCUCCCCACCCCCUGGGGGUCUUCACUUUCCCAGUCUACAUCUGCCUGUGACUCCAGAAAGACGAACUGCAGUUUGGCCAAGCUGCCUGAAGACCCAGCCCGACAGCGAUGGGUGCCAGCCCUCGUCGCCCACCAGGGCAGCUUCUCUCUCGACUCGCGUGGGGGGCACCACCCCUCCUCGGUGCCUUGGAGCUGUCAGUCGCGGCUCCGCGGGGAUCCCCAGGGCCUCAGACCUUGCGGCCAGCGGCACUGGAGUGUGGCGGGGCAGGGACCGGAGGCGACCAGAGCGGAACCCCGGAUUUAGGCCGCCUGCUUUCCAGCCUCUGCAAUGGCCACUGGGGUGCCCCUUCCAUCCUGGUUAAAUUCUCAUUGUGACCCUCAGCCUCCUCCUAGGCGGGUUCUCCGCCGCUCAGGCCGGAAGAGGUCACUACUCCGGGCAGGGUGGACCCCCAGCUCCAUCUCGGAGGAACUUUCGCCCGAAGCGAGCAGGAAGGGGUUAACCACGAGCCUCCCACCCUCACCUCGCAGCCCCCCGGUGCCGUGCCGGGCGAAGGCCGCCGCUUCCCUCCUGAGGUCUCAUUAGGGAAACCCUCGCCGCUAUUUUCAACGUUUCCUCAAUCAAGUGCCUUUAAAUAGAGCUGCACAAACAGAUUGGCGGCAAGAGCGUAGAUCUUGUCACGAUGGAGACCAAUCCAAUAUUUCAGCCUUGUUUGCUUUGCAAUUACGGGUUGGCUUGUGGCUGCGGUGCCACUGGGGCAAAUCUGCAGCCGCUGGCUCUCUCCUCUGCGCUCCGGGCGGGUGGAGGAAGCGACCCUCGGAGUCACUGCUGGGAGGAGAGCGGGGCGCGCG